rnacentral:rRNA from 1 species
UACAUGGGGUGCAAACGUUUGCUCGGAAUUAUUGGGCGUAAAGCGCACGUAGGCGGUUCGUUAAGUCGGAUGUGAAAGCCCUCGGCUCAACUGAGGAAGUGCACCCGAAACUGGCGAGCUUGAGUACGAAAGAGGAUCGCGGAAUUCCCGGUGUAGAGGUGAAAUUCGUAGAUAUCGGGAGGAACACCGGUGGCGAAGGCGGCCAAUCUGGACGGAUACUGACGCUGAGACGCGAAAGCGUGGGUAGCAAACAGG